rnacentral:rRNA from 1 species
AGUUUGAUCCUGGCUCAGGAUGAACGCUGGCGGCGUGCCUAAUACAUGCAAGUCGAACGCACAGCGAAAGGUGCUUGCACCUUUCAAGUGAGUGGCGAACGGGUGAGUAACACGUGGACAACCUGCCUCAAGGCUGGGGAUAACAUUUGGAAACAGAUGCUAAUACCGAAUAAAACUCAGUGUCGCAUGACACAAAGUUAAAAGGCGCUUUGGCGUCACCUAGAGAUGGAUCCGCGGUGCAUUAGUUAGUUGGUGGGGUAAAGGCCUACCAAGACAAUGAUGCAUAGCCGAGUUGAGAGACUGAUCGGCCACAUUGGGACUGAGACACGGCCCAAACUCCUACGGGAGGCUGCAGUAGGGAAUCUUCCACAAUGGGCGAAAGCCUGAUGGAGCAACGCCGCGUGUGUGAUGAAGGCUUUCGGGUCGUAAAGCACUGUUGUAUGGGAAGAACAGCUAGAAUAGGGAAUGAUUUUAGUUUGACGGUACCAUACCAGAAAGGGACGGCUAAAUACGUGCCAGCAGCCGCGGUAAUACGUAUGUCCCGAGCGUUAUCCGGAUUUAUUGGGCAUAAAGCGAGCGCAGACGGUUGAUUAAGUCUGAUGUGAAAGCCCGGAG